CAGUCGCCGCGGUAAUACGUAGGUCCCGAGCGUUGUCCGGAUUUGUUGGGCGUAAAGCGAGCGCAGGCGGUUAGAUAAGUCUGAAGUUAAAGGCUGUGGCUUAACCAUAGUACGCUUUGGAAACUGUUUAACUUGAGUGCAGAAGGGGAGAGUGGAAUUCCAUGUGUAGCGGUGAAAUGCGUAGAUAUAUGGAGGAACACCGGUGGCGAAAGCGGCUCUCUGGUCUGUAACUGACGCUGAGGCUCGAAAGCGUGGGGAGCGAACAGGAUUAGAUACCCCCGUAGUCCCUGUCUCUUAUACA
rnacentral:rRNA from 1 species